rnacentral:rRNA from 1 species
CCUACGGGUGGCAGCAGUGGGGGAUAUUGGACAAUGGGGGAAACCCUGAUCCAGCGACGCCGCGUGAGUGAAGAAGUAUUUCGGUCUGUAAAGCUCUGUCAGCAGGGACGAAAGAAAUGACGGUAGCUGACCAAGAAGCCCCGGCUAACUACGUGCCGGCAGCCGCGGUAAUCCGUCGGGUGCAAGCGUCAUCCGGAUUUACUGGGUGUAAAGGGAGCGUAUACGGGGAUGCAAGUCUGGAGUGAAAGGCGGGGGACCAACCCCCGGACUGCUCUGGAAACUGUGUAACUUGAGUGUAGGAGAGGUAAGCGGAAUGCCUGGUGUAGCGGUGAAAUGCGUAGAUAUUAGGAGGAACACCAGUGGCGAAGGCGGUUUACUGGACUGUAACUGACGUUGAGGCUCGAAAGCGUGGGGAGCAAACAGGAUUAGAUACCCGAGUAGUC